CUUUAUUUUGUAACCAUUUUACAAAAGCAAUAAUAAUAAUGAUUCAUUUUAAUUAUUGGUGCCUUUCAAGACUCUUGAAAACCAUGAUUGUAUUGUAUUGUUAUGAAGGGAAGACAGCGGGAGAGAAGAAUUUGUUUUGGUGGACAGAUAGAGCUGGGUGUGAAAGUGGAUUCCUAAUUUCCUAAUAAUAUAGCUGAGAGGUAGAAGAUAUAUUAUAAAUAAUAAGAAGAAGUCCUGCAUCAGCUGAGAGUAACAGAUCAUUAGUGAUUUUGACCAGAGCAGUUUCAGUGAUGUGAUGGUGUAGUGGUCUAAAGCACAUAACUGGUAAUCAGAAGGUCGCUGGUUUGAUCCCCACAAUCACCACCAUUGUGUCCUUGAGUAAGACACUUAACUCCAGGUUGCUCCGGGGGGAUUGUCCCUGUAAUAAGUGCUCUGUAUAAUACAUUGGUACUCAGAAGGUUGCUGGUUUGAUCCCCACAGUCACCACCAUUGUGUCCUUGAGUAAGACACUUAACUCCAGGUUGCUCCGGGGGGAUUGUCCCUGUAAUAAGUGCUCUGUAUAAUACAUUGGUACUCAGAAGGUUGCUGGUUUGAUCCCCACAUUCACCACCAUUGUGUCCUUGAGUAAGACACUUAACUCCAGUUUGCUCCGGGGGGAUUGUCCCUGUAAUAAGUGCUCUGUAUAAUACAUUGGUAAUCAGAAGGUUGCUGGUUUGAUCCCCACAGUCACCACCAUUGUGUCCUUGAGUAAGACACUUAACUCCAGGUUGCUCCGGGGGGAUUGUCCCUGUAAUAAGUGCUCUGUAUAAUACAUUGGUACUCAGAAGGUUGCUGGUUUGAUCCCCACAUUCACCACCAUUGUGUCCUUGAGUAAGACACUUAACUCCAGUUUGCUCCGGGGGGAUUGUCCCUGUAAUAAGUGCUCUGUAUAAUACAUUGGUACUCAGAAGGUUGCUGGUUUGAUCCCCACAGUCACCACCAUUGUGUCCUUGAGUAAGACACUUAACUCCAGGUUGCUCCGGGGGGAUUGUCCCUGUAAUAAGUGCUCUGUAUAAUACAUUGGUACUCAGAAGGUUGCUGGUUUGAUCCCCACAGUCACCACCAUUGUGUCCUUGAGUAAGACACU